UGCAUAAGUAUUUUUAUGACCAAUAACUACAAUAAACUCAAUUAGAUAGGUAACAGAACAAAUGGGAUUAAAACAUGAAUUGUAAUGCAACUUGUAUAUAUUAUAAUGUAUUCAUGCACUUUGCAGAAAAGUUCAUUUUGAACUAAUUAAAAAUUUAUUGAAAUAAUUAUCAUUACUUUUUCACCUAGAGUUACAUCAAAAAGAACAUCACUAACAGUAGUUGCAUAGAUAUAUAAUAUUGCAAUUUUUCCACCUGGCUAUUAAGGGGUGAUAAAUUAAUCUACUGCAGUGUACAUGUUGCUUAUCUCACAACAGGAGAUUACCACAGACUGAUAAGAUCUUGUCUGCUUUAUAUUUAGAAACUCUACCAAGAGGUCAGCCAAUGAAAAUAAAGUCAGGGAACUACUUCUGGCGACUGUGCAUGUACCACAAAAAGUAAUCCUUAACUUUUUGGGUUUUUUAUCAGAGUAAUCUUUUAAAAUUUAUGUGUAUCUAAAUGGAAUAAAAUCUUACUCUAGAACAGAAAUAGUUUCAACAUCCUACAUGUAUCUUUCAUUAGCUGACUGUAAAUGACACAUUUGCCCAAGAAUAUCAAAAAUUCAAAUCUAAACAGGAAGUUCUGUGAGAGCAUGAUGGAGUUAUUUCACUACAAAGAAGUUUAUUUAUAUAGCUCUUUGUUUACUAUGUGCAGUUUAUAUUUAACAUGGAAGUUUAAGAGUGAUGAAAAUAAUACAAAUGGUAUAGCACCAUAUGUCAUGUAUGUAUAUAGGUAUGGCACACAUGAAUGAAUUGGGACCUUAUCAAUGUAUUGUGUUCAAAGAAGACCUAACGAAUCCAGCAGUUCAAAAACAUGUUUUGCAGUGAGACGAAUGGUGACAAUGGCUUUGUGGCAGUUAGUGAAAAACUGUGGCAUUUUAUACUGAUGAUGGCUACCAUUUACAGAAAAUAGUGACAUUCAAUUGAAAGUAAUAGCAUAUCUUACACCGACUAUACAUCAGAAUGUUGUUGAAAAAAGCCAUGGCAAAAAGUGGAAAAUACUGAUCAAUAUACUUCAAUGACUUUGGAACUGAGUAGAAAAUGGUGACAUUUUAGCACCAUAUUGUAUGUAUACUUUUUCUUGCAUCCGCACAGUCCGGCCAGGAUCCAUGCUGUUCACUAAUGGUUUCUAUGGUUGCAAUAGCAUUUGAAAGCGAGCAGCAUGGAUCCUGACCAAAUCGAGCUGAUGCGCAGGCUGGUCUGUAGCCAUGCUGAUCGCAAAGCCUCUAUGUUGGUUUUCUCCUGGCACGGCUCAUAUAUAAAUUCAUGUAUGUAAAUAAUGUUUUGCUUAUGGUAUUUUGUCAGCACAGGUAAUGAAAUACUAAAAAAAAACAUAAAAUAUUUUGUUAGUGUUUUGUUUAAAUUUGUGACCUUGCUCUUUUGCAUAUCAUAUGUUUUGUUGGUAUUUUGUUAGCAGUGUUUUGUUAGUGUUUUCUUUAGCACAUAUAAUGAAACACUAAUAAAACAUAAAGUAUUCUGUUAGUGUUUUGUAUAAGCCUAAUUUGCAUAUCAUGUUUUGUUGGUAUUUCGUUAGCAAUGUUUUGUUAGUGUUUUGUUAGUGUUUUGUUACCUCAUUUGCAUGUCAUUUGCUAUACUAAUAAAACAUCAUCAAAACACAG